rnacentral:rRNA from 1 species
GAUGAACGCUGGCGGCGUGCCUAAUACAUGCAAGUCGAGCGAACGGACGAGGAUUUUGCUUUUCUUAUGUGACCGGCGGACGGGUGAGUACCACGAGUAUACCCUACCUAUAAGACUGGGAUAACUUCGGGAAAGCGGAUCUAACACCGGUUAAUAUGUUGAACCUCAUGGUUCAAAAGUGAAAGCCGUUCUUGCUGUCACUUAGACAUGUAUCCUCGUUGCAUGAGUUAGUUGGUAAGGUAAAGGCUUACCAAGGCAACGAUGCAUAGCCGACCUGAGAGGGUGAUCGGCCACACUGGAACUGAGACACGGUCCAGACUCCUACGGGAGGCAGCAGUAGGGAAUAUUGCGCAAUGGGCGAAAGCCUGACGGAGCAACGCCGCGUGAGUGAUGAAGGUCUUCGGAUCGUAAAACUCUGUAAGUAGGGAAGAAGAUAUGUGAGAGUAAAUCUGCAUAUCUUGACGGUACCUACUCAGAAAGCCACGGCUAACUACGUG